CAGUGCCGCGGUAAUACGUAGGUGGCAAGCGUUGUCCGGAAUUAUUGGGCGUAAAGGGCUCGCAGGCGGUUUCUUAAGUCUGAUGUGAAAGCCCCCGGCUCAACCGGGGAGGGUCAUUGGAAACUGGGAAACUUGAGCGCAGAAGAGGAGAGUGGAAUUCCACGUGUAGCGGUGAAAUGCGUAGAGAUGUGGAGGAACACCAGUGGCGAAGGCGACUCUCUGGUCUGUAACUGACGCUGAGGAGCGAAAGCGUGGGGAGCGAACAGGAUUAGAUACCCGCGUAGUCCCUGUCUCUUAUACA
rnacentral:rRNA from 1 species